ACAUAACCCCGUCAACUAUUGAGGCUAGAAUACUUGACCCCCAAACUAUGAAACCGGAUUUUCUAACCCCUGAACUUUAAAAACCGGUCAAAUAACCCCCUAGGCGGUUUUGAACGGUGGUUUUGCUACAGUGACGGUGGUUUUGUCUUUUUUAUUUAUUAUCGCUGAACCUUGAAAAAUCAUAAAAUGAAAAAUCCAAUUUUGUUGGAUUCCACUAGAUCUACACAGUGAAUAUAUAAUAUAAUACGCUUUAGUAUAAAGUUUAUUCCAAUCAAUUAUAGAAAAGCAUAGAUAUAAAGCUAAAAAAAAACUUUGUACUAAAGUAUACAAUAUUAUAUAUUCACUGUGUAGAUCUAUUCAUGUGGAGUCCAACAAAGUUGGAUUUUCUAUUUUAUGAUUUUUCUCUGUAUUAAUAUGAUUUUAAAAAAAUUCAGCGAAAAUAAAUAAAAAGACAAAACCACUGUCACUGUAGCAAAACCACUGUCCAAAACCUCCUGGGGGGUUAUUUGACCGGUUUUACAAAGUUCAAGGGUAGAAAAUCCGAUUUCAUAGUUCAGGGGGUGAUGUAGUCUACUCUUAAUAGUUGAGGGGGUUAUGUAGACUUUUUCCACUCGCGGUGGUGGGGCUCGUGAAACGGCGGUUCCGGCGAGUCUUGGACAUCGUGGGCAGCCCUGUGGACUGCAACCGCUCCACUACUGCAGGUUAUCUCCUUCCGCAUCUUCAAAAGUCCAGGUACGAGCUAUGGCGGUGAGUCUGAACUUUACUUUUUUUUUUUUGAGGGAUUGGACUUUACUACUCGCUGGACCACAAAUGGGACCUUGAAAUGCAUUUUUUUUGUGUGGAUCUGAAAAUAGCAGUGUACUAAUGUUUGGAUCUGAAAAUAGACUUUGUAUGUAAAGAUUGUUGGUUGGAUCUGCCAGCAAAGAAGGAGAAGCGCAGUAACAUGACAUGCAGAUUAUUGUCUCAAAAAGUCAUUGUGUAAGUGAUUAGCGUAUGCAUUUCAUUAAUGAGAAUUAGUGAGACCAUCAUGCAUUAUUUAGCCCUCUCUUGUGGCCGACUUUUCUUUUACAUCUGCAGCCAUGUCUGACCUGCAUACUUUCUACUUCCUUUUGCAUAUUGAUUUCAACAGGUUUAGUGAUCACAAACAAGAAAUGAUCAUGUCGGGUUUUAUUUUUAUAUAUGAAGCUUAUAUCUAUCUAGAUUAUUUCUGCCAACUCUUCUCUGUACAAAACCAGUUGGAUGUUGGUUCAUUUCUAUUAUUUGUUCCAUUUCUAAGAUGGUUUACUUUGUUGAUGCAUUUAUGGUAAAUACACCAUGGCAUCACAAAACCAGUUGGAUGUUGGCCCUUGCUUUUUAGAUAUUCCACAUAUAUAUUCUCAGAUGUGUAUUUGAUGAUAUAUUGUCUUCUACUAUUCCUGAAAAUAGUUGUACUCCCUAUUGUGUUGUGACAUAUGUCUAGCAGCAACCAGGUUGGCAAUGCCUAUGCCACUGCUUUUGCUUAUUUCUGCAUCCUGUCCAAAAGUUGUAUUUGGGUUACCUGAUUGUUUACAAUGCUCUUCAGCGUAUAUCGUGUUAAUAUAUGUUCGCCAUUUGAGGCUACUACAUAUACUGUUUAUACACAUAAUAUCCAUCUGUAUUGCUAUCUACAAGACCUAAUCUCUAGCUGUUUUCUCAUAAAUUUCACAUAUAUUUUUUGUACAAAAAAUGGCGCGUCUGCGACUGCCACAAAAAAAAUCUACGUGCAUAGAACUCAAAGAGUCUGAACAUUUGGAUGUGAUAAAUACCACAUAUACCAGUUUCUUCCAGUCCUAUAACAGGUAAGAGCUAAAGAUCAAGAACUGGGCAAGCACCUGAGAGUAGAAUUAACUACAGUUACUCAAAGAGUCUGAACAUUUGGAUGUGAUAAAUAUCACAUAUACCAGUUUCUUCCAGUCCUAUAACAGGUAAGAGCUAGAGAUCAAGAACUGGGCAAGCACCUGAGAGCAGAAUUAAGAGUAUCAUCAACGGUCCGUUUCUACAGCCAUUACUAAGACUUCCAACUCAUCUAUUUCUCACUCAUGUUUUCAUCUCUCUCUUAAUUUAAUAUAUUUCUUAAUAGUACUUCUUGCCUUGGAUCCUACAUGCCAUACACUAUCUUUUCUUCCCUUUUCUUGGUAGGAGAGCUGGUGCCGAUACUUCUGCAAGAGACUUCACGUCACAUCAACCCUUUCCGUCUUCUUCCAUCUUAGCAAAAACGAUGACAUGUACAUUAAGUACCGGCUGGAGUUUCAUUGUUGGAGAUGCUCUAACUACAGUCCAGAGAGUAGUAAAGUCCAUUCCCUAAAAAAAAUUUACUAAAGUCCAGCAGGUAGUCAGUUCAGUUGAAUAACAAAAGUCGCAUUUUCUAUUUGUUCAAAUGUUGGCAUGCAAUCACUCAUUUCUAAACCAGGACCUGGCAUAUGCACGCAAAACUCCAGCAAACAUUCUUCAGCUGCUUUCUUCCAUCGAACAGUAGAUCAAUCACAUGCUUGUUGUUGCCUAAUUUCAGUAUACAGGACACUACAUCUACCAUAUAUGUUAACUUAUCAAUUUAUCACAUUACAAUUGAUGAGCCAAUGGUAAACUGUGUCAUGUACCAUGAACUCGGCGACGACUCUGUUUGAAGUGACUGCUGUCUUUCACUAAUGACCCGCAGUUUUACUUAACCUUAGCUAUCAUUUCAGGUAAUAUAUCCAUGUCCUAAAUGUUUUCGAAGGAACUCCUGUUUAGUUGAACUUCAUAAUAGACUGUUAUAUGGUGUGAUUGAUCAACUGUUUGAUGGAAGAAACUGUAUACUCAUCAAUGUAUAAAAUUAUUAAUCAUCAUUGACAGAACCUUAUUCUGUGUUUUAAAGAGGUCAGAGAUAGAUGUAACUGCUUUUUCAUCUAAGAGAUAAAUUAUCUUCUCUAAUAUGUUUCUUUUGAUUUUGUUGCUGUUAAUGAAGCAUGGGAGGAACCUGUCCAUUGAAGUGUGGUGGGUCUAUCUUACUAUCUAGAUCGAUGAACACGUGUAAAAAAAGGGACUACUAAGGGGACCCCUCUCUUUCUAGAGGAUUCGCGGCAUGUCAAGCCCUGGUAAGGUUCUUCGCUUUGCAUCGAAUUAAACCACAUGCUCCACCGCUUGUGCGGGCCCCCGUCAAUUCCUUUGAGUUUCAUUCUUGCGAUGUUUUUUUACUUGACAAAAGAGAAUGCAGAUCUUAAGGUUGUUUCUAUGCUGUUCCUCUAGGGAAAAGUUUGUAAGUGUUUAAAUAAAAUCAAUUUGUCCAGUAUUAGCUCAUGGACAGUGUCAUGUAUCCCUAAGGGAAGUUUAUCUUUCUCAACAUUGCUGAACAGAGGAGAAGCAAACAGAACAUUGGGAAGGUAGGAAGAUUAGGGCAGUUGGAGCCAUGGAGGUGUCUCAGGACUGGAUGAGCUACGGAGAUGCACAAUGAUCGAUUGGAGAGGGAGAAAGUGAGUGAAAGACUAGAUUUAGGUGGAGAAAUAUAUGUUCUAGGAAGAGAAAGAAUUGGAUCAAUGCAUAGUGAUCAACAGAGAGGACUAAGUGAGAGAUAUACUAGCAUUUGGUACAUAUUUGAUAGAGACAUGACAUAGCAUUGCGCUUAAUUCUUAAUUCGACAUGUGUUCUUGAAGUACAAUAAUUGGAUUUGUGUCAUUUUA